CGGUGUCUCAGUUCACAAUGAAGGGAGCAAAGUGUCGCCUCCAAAUCUGUUACAGGGCCUUUUCCUAGAAGACCAGGGGGCUGAAGACAAAGGCUCACGUGAUUCCAGGGGACCCACCCGGCUAAUCCAGGAUAAUCCCCCCAUUUCAAGGUUGAGUGACAGAUUCCACACUGAACUCAAAAUCACGCUCUCCAAAGAUAAAGAAACUGAAGCUCAGAGAGGUGAAUGACCUUCUGGCGGUCACACAGCCAGGAAGAGGUGGAGCCUGGAUCUUCUGCCUCUGGGCCCUUUGGAGCAGCUGCUGAAGGGUUGCUGCUAAUGACUCCCAGCUGCCCCUUCGCUGGAGGCGAGCCCUCAGCCAAACGAGAGGCGUCCCCCGGAAGGCCAGCCCACCCUGCCUUCCUUUCCCGACCUGGGAAGAUGAUGGCUGAUGACCGGCUGAUGUGGUGCAAAA